GAUGAACGCUGGCGGCGUGCCUAAUACAUGCAAGUCGAGCGAACGGACGAGAAGCUUGCUUCUCUGAUGUUAGCGGCGGACGGGUGAGUAACACGUGGAUAACCUACCUAUAAGACUGGGAUAACUUCGGGAAACCGGAGCUAAUACCGGAUAAUAUUUUGAACCGCAUGGUUCAAAAGUGAAAGACGGUCUUGCUGUCACUUAUAGAUGGAUCCGCGCUGCAUUAGCUAGUUGGUAAGGUAACGGCUUACCAAGGCAACGAUGCAUAGCCGACCUGAGAGGGUGAUCGGCCACACUGGAACUGAGACACGGUCCAGACUCCUACGGGAGGCAGCAGUAGGGAAUCUUCCGCAAUGGGCGAAAGCCUGACGGAGCAACGCCGCGUGAGUGAUGAAGGUCUUCGGAUCGUAAAACUCUGUUAUUAGGGAAGAACAUAUGUGUAAGUAACUGUGCACAUCUUACGGUACCUAAUCAGAAAGCCACGGCUAACUACGUG
rnacentral:rRNA from 1 species